CCUUAAACAAGCCUUUGGCCUAUGGAGAUUCUGUCCAUCCACAGUCAGAAACAAAUGUGAGCAGAGAAUGGUCCAAAGGCAAGGCUGUUCUGCCAAGCACAGCAAGCUAGCAGAAUCCACCGAGUCCUGAGCUUGAGCAUACUUGAAGACUUUCCUUGCUUGAACCGUGUAUCCGAGGCCACUGGUGCUCCACCAAAAUCUAGGGGGUUUUCCCCUCCUAUAAUAACAAGAUUAUAACUGAGUACGAGACUGGACUACAUUUCCUGGCUCUCUUAAAGGUAUAUACAGCCUCCUGAGUUCCAUCACUCCAGAGCAAUGAGAGGAGAUGUACCUGCUACUCCUGAACCUGAGGUUUCAUUCAUAUACUUUUGCUAAUGCAGAUGGCAAUAAGGCUCCAAACCAGUAGCUAUCACUCCCCUGAGAAAAUACAGCAUUAAAAAUGAUGGUAUUGAUUGCCACAACUGGGAGAUAUUGCUGGCACCUGGGGAAGACAGUUCAGUAAUUCUGAAAAACAGUCCACGAUGCACAACUCAAUAUCCCACAGCAGACUAUGUCAGUCACGGCAAGGCUGAGAACAUCUACUGAAGGGGAUGACAGAGGAGAUUUUCACCUGUGAUUUAAGAAGAAGAAGGAGGAGGAGGAGGAGGAGGAGAAGUAAAACAUGAUGAUGAAUGACUUUCUCAAUGCUGAAGCUAGUGUGACUACCUUCUGGACAGAGAGGAAGAAGGAUUCUCUCUAAGGCAAAGCAGUUUCUCACCCUUGCAUUCAGAAUCUAUAGGUGCUUCCACAGGAGAGUUCCAAAACAAGGAAAACCAAAUAAGAAAGAGUGACUUUGACCCUUACUUUUACUGUUCUUCCAAAAUAAGUAUUUUUAAAAUAUAAUUUGAGGUACAAACAUCUAGAAGACUAAGAGAGGCAACACUUGCAAAGUCAUGGAUCCAGUUUUACUUCCUACAACUCUUCCUUGAAGCAUUUAAGAGAACCAGUCCCACUAAAGAUCUAGCUCAGUGGUAGAGUACUUGACUAGUAUAUAUGAGAUUCUAAGUUCAGUCCUCAGUACUGGGAGGAAUAGAUAGAUGACAGAUGAGACAUAGAUAGAUAAAUAGAUAGAUAGAUAGAUAGAUAGAUAGAUAGAUAGAUAGAUAGAUAGAUAGAUAGACUGAAAGACCUUAGAUGAGAGAUACAGAUAGAUGAUAGAUAGAAAUGGUAGAUAGAUGAUACAUACAUACAUACAUGAAUGCAUGCAUACAUACAUACAUAGAUGAGAAAUAAAUCAAUUCUGCAAUUAUUAGAAUAUUGUUUAAAACAUGCAUGCCAUGAUAAAUUAAACAACACCAUGAUAAAUCCACGACACUAACAGUAACAUCAUAUGAAGUGUGGCAUUAUUCUUAGACAAUUUCACUCAAGCAAAUACUUUCUUUUCUCUAUGUGUACCCCUUAAGUAUGUGCCUCUAAAGGUCUAAUAUUAGGAAGUUAUACUAUACUAAUGGAAAGGGAUUAUAGUGCAUUACCAAGAAAGAAACAUCAUAUCAGUAUACUUUCAUGUUAAACAAAAAUGGAAUUUUUUUUAAAUUUUUAAAAAAUACAAUUCAUCUUCCCCCAGUUCCUCCUUGACACCUGCAGCAGAUAGGAGAGCUGGUCCUGCCCCUCUCAAGCUGCAGCACUUGAAAGAGCAGGCCCUGCACCUCACCUGGGCAGCACAGUAGAGCUGAUCCUGUUGGUGUGAGGACAGGAUGAAGUUGGAGAAGUUUUGUCCAAGCAAAGGGAGACCACCAAUAAGGAGUCGUGACAAAGAGAGGGGAGCCUGUGUAAAAAGCGGGGAGUACAUUUUUUUAAAUGUGUGUCAUCACUUUUGAAUUUGAACAUGUUGAAAAGUAAAUGUUGCUAUCAAUGAACAUCUUUGAACCACUGCCCAUACUGAACAAAUCACUACCUUUUUGCUCUUGUGAGAUCCUUUGCUUCUUUUUCCUGCUGUUUUUGUCAUAUGCUUUGCCGAGAAUCCUCUCCAAUCACCUCAGCUUAUCUCAUAAACAGGAAAGGAAUUUUCUACUUUAUGUUUUCUCUUAUUGAAAUAAAGAAAAAUAAAGGAAAUAGAUUCAUUUCUCAUACAGUAUAUCCUGAUUAUAAUUUUCCCUCCUUCUUCUCCCAUUCCU